rnacentral:rRNA from 1 species
UACGAAGGGGGCUAGCGUUGUUCGGAAUUACUGGGCGUAAAGGGCGCGCAGGCGGCCCUCCAAGUCAGGUGUGAAAGCCCCGGGCUCAACCCGGGAAUAGCGCUUGAGACUGGGGGGCUUGAGUUCGGGAGAGGAGAGUGGAAUUCCCAGUGUAGAGGUGAAAUUCGUAGAUAUUGGGAAGAACACUGGUGGCGAAGGCGGCUCUCUGGACCGACACUGACGCUGAGGCGCGAAAGCGUGGGGAGCAAACAGG